rnacentral:rRNA from 1 species
GACCGAUAGUGAACCAGUACCGUGAGGGAAAGGUGAAAAGAACCCCGGGAGGGGAGUGAAAUAGAACCUGAAACCGCAUGCAUACAAACAGUAGGAGCCUUUACGGAGGUGACUGCGUACCUUUUGCAUAAUGGGUCAGCGACUUACAUUCUGUGGCGAGCUUAACCGAAUAGGGGAGGCGCAGCGAAAGCGAGUUCGAAAUGAGCGUCCAGUCGCAGGGUGUAGACCCGAAACCAGAUGAGCUAUCCAUGGCCAGGUUGAAGGUGUGGUAACACACACUGGAGGACCGAACCGACUAGUGUUGCAAAAUUAGCGGAUGAGCUGUGGAUAGGGGUGAAAGGCCAAACAAAUCUGGAGAUAGCUGGUUCUCCCCGAAAACUAUUGAGGUAGUGCCUCGUGUGUCGCUCCAGGGGGUAGAGCACUGUUUUGGCUAGGGGGACAUGGAGUCUUACCAAACCAAGGCAAACUCCGAAUACCUGGAAGCGUAAGCACGGGAGACAGAGCACCGGGUGCUAACGUCCGGACUCAAAAGGGAAACAACCCAGACCGCCGGCUAAGGUCCCAAAUAACAGCUAAGUGGAAAACGAAGUGGAAAGGCCGUGACAACCAGGAAGUUGGCUUAGAAGCAGCCAUCCUUCAAAGAAAGCGUAAUAGCUCACUGGUCGAGUCCUUCUGCGCGGAAGAUGUAACGGGGCUAAGCUGUUAACCGAAGCCGCGGAUGCACUGGUAAUCCAGUGCGUGGUAGGGGAGCGUUCUGUAAGUCUGCGAAGGCGGUUCGAGAGGACUGCUGGAGAUAUCAGAAGUGCGAAUGCUGACAUGAGUAACGUUAAAGCAGGUGAAAAGCCUGCUCGCCGUAAGCCCAAGGAUUCCUGCUCUACGUUCAUCGGAGCAGGGUGAGUCGGCUCCUAAGGUCAGGCCGAAAGGCGUAGCCGAUGGGAAUCAGGUUAAUAUUCCUGAACCUGCGUCAGAUGCGAUGGGGGGACGGAGCAUGAAAGAUCAUCCGGGUGUUGGAAGUCCCGGUUGACGAGCGUAGGAGGUCUGCAGGCAAAUCCGCAGACGCAUCUCCAAGGCAAAGACACGUGCCGCCACGGCGGCGAAGUGAUCGGAAGUGCUUCCAAGAAAAGCCUCUAAGCACCAGUCUGACGCGGACCGUACCGCAAACCGACACUGGUGGGCGAGCUGAAUAUGCUCAGGCGCUUGAGAGAACUCGGGAGAAGGAACUCGGCAAAUUGACCCCGUAACUUCGGAAGAAGGUGUGCCGUAGUAGCGUGAGAGGAGAGACUCCUCGAGCGUGAAUCGGUCUCAGAGAAUAGGUGGCUGCGACUGUUUAUUAAAAACACAGCACUCUGCAAAGUCGAAAGACGACGUAUAGGGUGUGAUGCCUGCCCGGUGCUGGAAGAUUAAUUGAUGGGGUGAGAGCCCUUGAUCGAAGUCCCAGUAAACGGCGGCCGUAACUAUAACGGUCCUAAGGUAGCGAAAUUCCUUGUC